AUUGAACGCUGGCGGCAUGCCUUACACAUGCAAGUCGAACGGUAACGCGGGGCAACCUGGCGACGAGUGGCGAACGGGUGAGUAAUGUAUCGGAACGUGCCCAGUUGUGGGGGAUAACUGCUCGAAAGAGCAGCUAAUACCGCAUACGACCUGAGGGUGAAAGCGGGGGAUCGCAAGACCUCGCGCAAUUGGAUCGGCCGAUAUCAGAUUAGGUAGGUGGUGGGGUAAAGGCCUACCAAGCCUACGAUCUGUAGCUGGUCUGAGAGGACGACCAGCCACACUGGGACUGAGACACGGCCCAGACUCCUACGGGAGGCAGCAGUGGGGAAUUUUGGACAAUGGGGGCAACCCUGAUCCAGCCAUGCCGCGUGCGGGAAGAAGGCCUUCGGGUUGCAAACCGCUUUUGUCAGGGAAGAAAUCCUUUGAACUAAUACUUCGAAGGGAUGACGGUACCUGAAGAAUAAGCACCGGCUAACUACGUGCCAGCCGCCGCCGUAAAAC
rnacentral:rRNA from 1 species